UACAGAGGGUGCGAGCGUUAAUCGGAAUUACUGGGCGUAAAGCGCACGUAGGCGGCGCACUAAGUUGGAUGUGAAAUCCCCGGGCUUAACUUGGGAAUUGCAUUCAAGACUGGUGUGCUGGAGUGUGGGAGAGAGAAGUGGAAUUCCAGGAGUAGCGGUGAAAUGCGUAGAUACCUGGAGGAACAUCAGUGGCGAAGGCGGCUUCUUGGCCCAACACUGACGCUGAGGUGCGAAAGCGUGGGGAUCAAACAGG
rnacentral:rRNA from 2 species